CCUACGGGAGGCAGCAGUGAGGAAUAUUGGUCAAUGGGCGCGAGCCUGAACCAGCCAAGUCGCGUGAGGGAAGACGGUCCUAUGGAUUGUAAACCUCUUUUGUCGGGGAGCAAAAGACGCCGCGCGUGGCGUUCCGAGAGUACCCGAAGUAAAAGCAUCGGCUAACUCCGUUCCAGACGCCGCGGUAAUACGGGGGAUGCGAGGUUUGUCCGGAUUUAUGGGGUUUAAAGGGUGCGCAGGCGGAAGAUCAAGUCAGCGGUAAAAUUGAGAGGCUCAACCUCUUCGAGCAGUUGAAACUGGUUUUCUUGAGUGAGCGAGAGGUAUGCGGAAUGCGAGGUGUAGCGGUGAAAUGCAUAGAUAUCACGCAGAACUCCGAUUGCGAAGGCAGCAUACCGGCGCUCAACUGACGCUCAUGCACGAAAGUGUGGGUAUCGAACAGGAUUAGAUACCCGUGUAGUC
rnacentral:rRNA from 1 species